rnacentral:rRNA from 1 species
UACGAAGGGUGCAAGCGUUAAUCGGAAUUACUGGGCGUAAAGGGAGCGUAGGCGGCUUUUUAAGUCGGAUGUGAAAGCCCCGGGCUCAACCUGGGAACCGCGCUUGAGACUGGCACGCUAGAGUUCGGGAGAGGAUGGUGGAAUUCCCAGUGUAGAGGUGAAAUUCGUAGAUAUUGGGAGGAACACCGGUGGCGAAGGCGGCCCCCUGGACCGGUACUGACGCUGAGGCGCGAAAGCGUGGGUAGCAAACGGG